AUUUUCUCAUGUUCCUCUUGCCUGUGAUAGUUUCUCAGACUUACCUUGUUUUUGAUGACCUUGACAGUUCUGAGGAGUACUGGCCAGGUAUUUUGUUGAAUGUCCUUCCAUCGAGAUCUGUCU